rnacentral:rRNA from 1 species
GACGUAGGGGGCCAGCGUUGCUCGGAAUUACUGGGCGUAAAGGGUUCGUAGGCGGUGCUGCAAGUUGGGAGCGAAAUCUCUGGGCUUAACCCAGGGGCUGCUUCCAAAACUGCCGUGCUAGAGUGCGAGAGAGGCGAGUGGAAUUGCAGGUGUAGCGGUGAAAUGCGUAGAGAUCUGCAGGAACACCCGUGGCGAAGGCGGCUGGCUGGAUCGCAACUGACGCUGAGGAACGAAAGCUAGGGGAGCAAACAGG